rnacentral:rRNA from 1 species
UACGAAGGGGGCUAGCGUUGCUCGGAAUCACUGGGCGUAAAGGGUGCGUAGGCGGGUUUUUAAGUCAGAGGUGAAAUCCUGGAGCUCAACUCCGGAACUGCCUUUGAUACUGGAAAGCUUGAGUCCGGGAGAGGUGAGUGGAACUGCGAGUGUAGAGGUGAAAUUCGUAGAUAUUCGCAAGAACACCAGUGGCGAAGGCGGCUCACUGGCCCGGUACUGACACUGAGGCGCGAAAGCGUGGGGAGCGAACAGG